CCUACGGGAGGCAGCAGUCGAGAAUCAUUCACAAUGGGGGAAACCCUGAUGGUGCGACGCCGCGUGGGGGAAUGAAGGUCUUCGGAUUGUAAACCCCUGUCAUGUGGGAGCAAAUUAAAAAGAUAGUACCACAAGAGGAAGAGACGGCUAACUCUGUGCCAGCAGCCGCGGUAAUACAGAGGUCUCAAGCGUUGUUCGGAAUCACUGGGCGUAAGGCGUGCGUAGGCUGUUUCGUAAGUCGUGUGUGAAAGGCGCGGGCUCAACCAGCGGACGGAACAUGAUACGGCGAGACUAGAGUAAUGGAGGGGGAACCGGAAUUCUCGGUGUAGCAGUGAAAUGCGUAGAUAUCGAGAGGAACACUCGUGGCGAAGGCGGGUUCCUGGACAUUAACUGACGCUGAGGCACGAAGGCCAGGGGAGCGAAAGGGAUUAGAUACCCCAGUAGUC
rnacentral:rRNA from 1 species